rnacentral:misc_RNA from 1 species
CGGUUCGAGUCCGCUUACCUCCACUGAUCGAACUCCUAAUUGCGUAAGUUAAGGAGAUUUUUUGUUGGAUGUGAUUUAGAGUCUGUUCAUACAUGAAUGAACCUAGCUUCUUAUCAUUUAAUGUCAAAAGUAUUUCUUUAGCAUUUUAUUGAUAUGACGCUGGGCUCGCUGCAAUGAGAGUUGCAGAGAUGUUCAGUA